GGCCGACUAGCUCAGCUGGUUAGAGCGUCGUGCUAAUAACGCGAAGGUCUCGGGUUAGAUCCUCACGGUGGCCA